rnacentral:rRNA from 1 species
UGCCAGCCGCCGCGGUAAUACGGAGGGUGCGAGCGUUAAUCGGAAUUACUGGGCGUAAAGGGCGCGUAGGCGGUUCGGUAAGUCAGAUGUGAAAGCCCCGAGCUUAACUUGGGAAUUGCAUUUGAUACUGUUGAGCUUGAGUGUGGUAGAGGAAAGCGGAAUUCCGGGUGUAGCGUUGAAAUGCGUAGAUAUCCGGAGGAACAUCAGGGGCGAAGGCGGCUUUCUGGACCAACACUGACGCUGAGAUGCGAAAGCGUGGGGAGCGAACAGGAUUAGAUA